UACGAAGGGGGCUAGCGUUGUUCGGAAUCACUGGGCGUAAAGCGCACGUAGGCGGCUUUUUAAGUCAGGGGUGAAAUCCUGGAGCUCAACUCCAGAACUGCCUUUGAUACUGAAGAUCUUGAGUUCGGGAGAGGUGAGUGGAACUGCGAGUUGUAGAGGUGAAAUUCGUAGAUAUUCGCAAGAACACCAGUGGCGAAGGCGGGUCUCUGGGCCGAUACUGACGCUGAGGAGCGGAAAGCGUGGGGAGCGAACAGG
rnacentral:rRNA from 1 species